rnacentral:rRNA from 1 species
UACGUAGGGACCAAGCGUUGUUCGGAUUUACUGGGCGUAAAGGGCUCGUAGGCGGUUUGUCGCGUCGGGAGUGAAAACACUGGGCUUAACUCAGUGCUUGCUUCCGAUACGGGCAGACUAGAGGUAUUCAGGGGAGAACGGAAUUCCUGGUGUAGCGGUGAAAUGCGCAGAUAUCAGGAGGAACACCGGUGGCGAAGGCGGUUCUCUGGGAAUGUCCUGACGCUGAGGAGCGAAAGUGUGGGGAGCGAACAGG